rnacentral:rRNA from 1 species
UACAGAGGGUGCGAGCGUUGUUCGGAUUUACUGGGCGUAAAGAGCGCGUAGGCGGUCUGUUAAGUGCACGAGUGAAAUCCCUGGGCUCACCUCAGGAACCGCUCUGCAUACUGGCAGACUGGAGGGUCGGAGAGGUAUGUGGAAUUCCUGGUGUAGCGGUGAAAUGCGUUGAUAUCAGGAGGAACACCCAUGGCGAAGGCGGUUCUCUGGGCCUGUACUGACGCUGAGGAGCGAAAGCGUGGGGAGCGAACAGG